rnacentral:rRNA from 1 species
AACGUAGGACGCAAGCGUUAUCCGGAGUUACUGGGCGUAAAGCGCGGGCAGGCGGUCUUGCCAGUCUGAUGUGAAAUCUCCCGGCUCAACCGGGAGCAGCCAUUGGAAACUACAAGACUGGAGUCUAGCAGAGGUAGGCGGAAUUCCGGGUGGAGUGGUGAAAUGCGUAGAGAUCCGGAGGAACACCAGAAGGCGAAGGCGGCCUACUGGGCUAGUACGUGACGCUGAGCCGCGAAAGCCAGGGGAGCGAACGGGG